CGGCCAGACUCCUACGGGAGGCAGCAGUGGGGAAUAUUGCACAAUGGGGGAAACCCUGAUGCAGCGACGCCGCGUGAGUGAAGAAGUAUUUCGGUAUGUAAAGCUCUAUCAGCAGGGAAGAAGUUGACGGUACCUGAGUAAGAAGCCCCGGCUAACUACGUGCCAGCAGCCGCGGUAAUACGUAGGGGGCAAGCGUUAUCCGGAUUUACUGGGUGUAAAGGGAGCGUAGACGGCAGUGCAAGUCUGAAGUGAAAGCCCCGGGCUUAACCCGGGAAUUGCUUUGGAAACUGUACGGCUGGAGUGCUGGAGAGGUAAGCGGAAUUCCUAGUGUAGCGGUGAAAUGCGUAGAUAUUAGGAGGAACACCAGUGGCGAAGGCGGCUUACUGGACAGUAACUGACGUUGAGGCUCGAAAGCGUGGGGAGCAAACAGGAUUAGAUACCCCGGUAAA
rnacentral:rRNA from 1 species